UACGUAGGGUGCAAGCGUUGUCCGGAUUUAUUGGGUUUAAAGGGUGCGCAGGCGGUCAAUUAAGUUAGUGGUGAAAGCGUUCCGCUCAACGGGAUUGACGCCAUUGAUACUGUACGGGUUGAGUGUGACAGAGGGUCUUGGAAUGAGUGGUGUAGCGGUGAAAUGCAUAGAUAUCACGCAGAACACCAAUUGCGAAGGCAGAUGUCUAUGUCGUGACUGACGCUGAGGCACGAAAGCGUGGGGAGCAAACAGG
rnacentral:rRNA from 1 species